rnacentral:tRNA from 1 species
UGGGGAUCUAGCUCAGUUGGUAGAGUGCUUGUCUUGCAUGCACAAAGCCCUGGGUUCAAUCCCCAGCACCUAA